rnacentral:lncRNA from 1 species
AUCUACUGAUUGGUUAAUAUCAGGAAAAAUCCUACAUGGCACUCCAUGCUUCAUUCUUCUUAUCCUACACCUUNNNNNNNNNNNNNCCGAUCUGUAUUAAUCGCAUUUCAUAGCCCUUCAAAUUCCCCUUCAAUCGCAUCUCUCUUCCCCUUUCGGUUCCUGUUUCGAAUCAGAUAUUGUUCUCUCAUCGCUCCUUCCUUCUCUUCCCCUUCAAUCGAAUCUCUCAUGGCCCCUUCCAAUUCCCCUUGAAUCGCAUCUCUCUU